AACGAACGCUGGCGGCAUGCCUAACACAUGCAAGUCGAACGAGACCUUCGGGUCUAGUGGCGCACGGGUGCGUAACGCGGGGGAACCUGCCCUUAGGUUCGGAAUAACUCCCCGAAAGGGGUGCUAAUACCGGAUAAUGUCUUCGGACCAAAGAUUUAUCGCCUUUGGGUGGGCCCGCGUUGGAUUAGCUAGUUGGUAGUGUAAAAGCCUACCAAGGCGACAAUACAUAGCUGGUCUGAGAGACAGAUCCGCCACACUGGGAGUGAGACACGGCCCAGACUCUUACGGGAGGGAGCAGUGGGGAAUACUGGAAAACGGGCGAAAGCAUGAUGCAGCAAUGCCGGGUGAGUGAUGAAGUUCUUAGGGUAGUAAAGCUCUUUUACCCGGGAUGAUAAUGACAGUACCGAGAGAAUAAGCACCGGCUAACUCCGUG
rnacentral:rRNA from 1 species